rnacentral:rRNA from 1 species
CCCUUAGAUGUUCUGGGCCGCACGCGCGUUACACUGAUGCAUUCAACGAGUCCUUCCUUGGCCGAGAGGCCUGGGCAAUCUUUUGAACGUGCAUCGUGAUAGGGAUAGAUUAUUGCAAUUAUUAAUCUUGAACGAGGAAUUCCUAGUAAACGCAGUUCAUCAAACUGCAUUGAUUACGUCCCUGCCCUUUGUACACACCGCCCGUCGCACCUACCGAUUGAAUGGUCCGGUGAAGCCUCGGGAUUGUGGCUGGUCUCCUUUAUUGGGGGUCGGUUGCGAGAACUUGUCUAAACCUUAUCAUUUAGAGGAAGGUGAAGUCGUAACA